GAUGAACGCUGGCGGCGUGCCUAACACAUGCAAGUCGAGCGAACCCUUCGGGGUGAGCGGCGGACGGGUGAGUAACGCGUGGGUAACCUGCCCUAUACACACGGAUAACGUACCGAAAGGUACGCUAAUACGGGAUAAAGUUGUUGGAUGGCAUCUUCUAACAAUCAAAGCUCCGGCGGUAUAGGAUGGACCCGCGUCUGAUUAGCUAGUUGGUGAGGUAAUGGCUCACCAAGGCGACGAUCAGUAGCCGACCGGAGAGGGUGAUCGGCCACACUGGAACUGAGACACGGGCCAGACUCCUACGGGGGGCAGCAGUGGGGAAUAUUGCAAAAUGGGCGAAAGCCUGAUGCCGCAACGCCGCGUGAGCGAUGAAGGUCUUCGGAUCGUAAAGCUCUGUCCUCAAGGAAGAUAAUGACGGUACCUGAGAAGAAAGCCCCGGCUAACUACGUGCCAGCCGCCGCCGUAA
rnacentral:rRNA from 1 species